GUAAAGGAUGAAAAAGAGAAUCACAAAGGAAUGCAAAGAGAACUAGCUUGAAUAGGGCAGGAAUGGAAAAGAAACAACAAAAGGAAAAAAAAACAGUGGAAGGAAAAUUGAAAGGAGCAGUAAAGAAAAGCAAAAUGGAAAGGGGAAAAGAAAAAAAGCAGAACUAGAAGGCAUAGCAAAGCAGUGAAAUACCAAGGAAAAGAAAAAACAGAAUAGGGUAUCAUGGCAAAACAAAGGACUCAAAGAAAUUCAACAAGAAAAAACUGCCAUCCAAAAUUGUUCAAAGAAAAAAAUAAUGACCAUAAGGAUACAAGCAAAGCCACCGACAGAAAAGCAAACAAGCAAAGAAAGGAAACCAAAGCAAAGCGAGAAAGCCAUGAAGCCAUGCAAAAUGCAAAGCAAAGGUAUGAAAGGAAAACCAAAGAGCAAAGCAAAGCACCAGAAAAACAAUAAAAAGAAGUGAAAGAAAAGGGACUGAAAA
ensembl:lncRNA